UGGGCUGGGGCUCAGUGGCAGAGCGCUCGCCUAGCACGCGUGAGGCCCUGGGUUUGAUCCUCAGCACCACAU
rfam:Ictidomys tridecemlineatus contig042340, whole genome shotgun sequence.